CCUACGUGGGGCAGCAGUAAGGAAUAUUGGUCAAUGGAGGAAACUCUGAACCAGCCAUCCCGCGUGAAGGAUGAAGGGGCUCUGCCUUGUAAACUUCUUUUGUCUGGGGCGAAAAAGCUCGAUUUAUCGAGAACUGACGGUACCAGAAGAAUAAGCACCGGCUAACUCCGUGCCAGCAGCCGCGGUAAUACGGAGGGUGCAAGAGUCAUCCGGAUUCACGGGGGCUAAAGGGUGCGUAGGCGGCAGAGGAGAAAGGCUGUGGCUUAACCAUGGAAUUGCCAUUGAUACUGCAGAGCUUGAAUGAGGUUGAGGUUGGCGGAAUGUGACAUGUAGCGGUGAAAUGCUUAGAUAUGUCAUGGAACACCGAUUGCGAAGGCAGCUGACUGGACCUAUAUUGACGCUGAGGCACGAAAGCGUGGGGAGCGAACAGGAUUAGAUACCCUAGUAGUC
rnacentral:rRNA from 1 species